rnacentral:rRNA from 1 species
AUUGAACGCUGGCGGCAUGCCUUACACAUGCAAGUCGAACGGCAGCACGGGAGCAAUCCUGGUGGCGAGUGGCGAACGGGUGAGCAAAGUAUCGGAACGUGCCCAGUCGUGGGGGAUAACGUAGCGAAAGUUACGCUAAUACCGCAUACGAUCUAUGGAUGAAAGCGGGGGAUCGCAAGACCUCGCGCGAUUGGAGCGGCCGAUAUCAGAUUAGGUAGUUGGUGGGGUAAAGGCUCACCAAGCCGACGAUCUGUAGAUGGUCUGAGAGGACGACCAGCCACACUGGGAAUGAGACACGGCCCAGACUCCUACGGGAGGCAGCAGUGGGGAAUUUUGGACAAUGGGCGAAAGCCUGAUUCAGCCAUGCCGCGUGCAGGAUGAAGGCCUUCGGGUUGUAAACUGCUUUUGUACGGAGCGAAAAGGCUCUCUCUAAUACAGGGGGCUCAUGACGGUACCGUAAGAAUAAGCGCCGGCUAACUACGUGCCAGCAGCCGCCGUAA